rnacentral:snRNA from 1 species
CGUUUUCAUAUAAACGAUGCAGGGCCUUACUGAAGACCCCUAGCACAAUUUUUGAAACCCUGUCUGUUUCGGAUGGGGUA